rnacentral:miRNA from 1 species
ACCCUGCCUUACUCUAGUUACAU